GAUGAACGCUGGCGGCGUGCCUAAUACAUGCAAGUCGAGCGAACAGACGAGGAGCUUGCUCCUCUGACGUUAGCGGCGGACGGGUGAGUAACACGUGGAUAACCUACCUAUAAGACUGGGAUAACUUCGGGAAACCGGAGCUAAUACCGGAUAAUAUAUUGAACCGCAUGGUUCAAUAGUGAAAGACGGUUUUGCUGUCACUUAUAGCUGGAUCCGCGCCGCAUUAGCUAGUUGGUAAGGUAACGGCUUACCAAGGCAACGAUGCGUAGCCGACCUGAGAGGGUGAUCGGCCACACUGGAACUGAGACACGGUCCAGACUCCUACGGGAGGCAGCAGUAGGGAAUCUUGCGCAAUGGGCGAAAGCCUGACGGAGCAACGCCGCGUGGGUGAUGAAGGUCUUCGGAUCGUAAAACUCUGUUAUUAGGGAAGAACAAAUGUGUAAGUAACUAUGCACGUCUUGACGGUACCUAAUCAGAAAGCCACGGCUAACUACGUG
rnacentral:rRNA from 1 species